rnacentral:rRNA from 1 species
GACGAACGCUGGCGGCGUGCCUAAUACAUGCAAGUUGAGCGCUGAAGGUUGGUACUUGUACCAACUGGAUGAGCAGCGAACGGGUGAGUAACGCGUGGGGAAUCUGCCUUUGAGCGGGGGACAACAUUUGGAAACGAAUGCUAAUACCGCAUAAAAACUUUAAACGCAAGUUUUAAGUUUGAAAGAUGCAAUUGCAUCACUCAAGGAUGAUCCCGCGUUGUAUUAGCUAGUUGGUGAGGUAAAGGCUCACCAAGGCGAUGAUACAUAGCCGACCUGAGAGGGUGAGCGGCCACAUUGGGACUGAGACACGGCCCAAACUCCUACGGGAGGCAGCAGUAGGGAAUCUUCGGCAAUGGACGAAAGUCUGACCGAGCAACGCCGCGUGAGUGAAGAAGGUGUUCGGAUCGUAAAACUCUGUUGGUAGAGAAGAACGUUGGUGAGAGUGGAAAGCUCAUCAAGUGACGGUAACUAACCAGAAAGGGACGGCUAACUACGUG